UACGUAGGGUGCAAGCGUUAAUCGGAAUUACUGGGCGUAAAGCGUGCGCAGGCGGCUUUGCAAGACAGAUGUGAAAUCCCCGGGCUCAACCUGGGAACUGCAUUUGUGACUGCAAGGCUAGAGUACGGUAGAGGGGGAUGGAAUUCCGCGUGUAGCAGUGAAAUGCGUAGAUAUGCGGAGGAACACCGAUGGCGAAGGCAAUCCCCUGGGCCGCACUGACGCUCAUGCACGAAAGCGUGG
rnacentral:rRNA from 1 species